CAGGUACANCGGGAAGCCAGGCGGCGACGCCGAGCGGAACCCGAAAACCUGUCUCAGUUCGGAUCGGAGUCUGCAACCCGACUCCGUGAAGCUGGAUUCGCUAGUAAUCGCGCAUCAGCCAUGGCGCGGUGAAUACGUUCCCGGGCCUUGUACACACCGCCCGUCAAGCCAUGGAAGCCGGGGGUGCCUGAAGUGUGCAGCCGCAAGGAGCGCCCUAAGGUAAAACCGGUGACUGGGGCUAAGUCGUAACAAGGUAGC
rnacentral:rRNA from 1 species